GUGGGGAAUUUUGGACAAUGGGGGCAACCCUGAUCCAGCAAUGCCGCGUGCAGGAAGAAGGCCUUCGGGUUGUAAACUGCUUUUGUACGGAACGAAAAGGCUCUGGUUAAUACCUGGGGCACAUGACGGUACCGUAAGAAUAAGCACCGGCUAACUACGUGCCAGCAGCCGCGGUAAUACGUAGGGUGCAAGCGUUAAUCGGAAUUACUGGGCGUAAAGCGUGCGCAGGCGGUGCUGUAAGACAGGCGUGAAAUCCCCGGGCUUAACCUGGGAAUGGCGCUUGUGACUGCAGUGCUGGAGUGUGGCAGAGGGGGAUGGAAUUCCGAGUGUAGCAGUGAAAUGCGUAGAUAUGCGGAGGAACACCGAUGGCGAAGGCAAUCCCCUGGGCCUGCACUGACGCUCAUGCACGAAAGCGUGGGGAGCAAACAGGAUUAGAAACCCUUGUAGUCC
rnacentral:rRNA from 1 species